rnacentral:tRNA from 1 species
GCCCCUGUAGCACAAUGGAUCGUGCAGGGCUCUUCUAAGGCCUUGAUGUAGGUUCGAUUCCUACCGGGGGCA